UUUUCAUUUCUCUUUUCUUACUCUCUCGUUCUCUCAUGUUCCUUUCUCCUUUUCACUCUGUUCAUUCGAACAGUUGCAGAAACCCUAAUGGUUUUUGCCUCUUCCUUCUUCUCUUUUCACCUUCUCUGUCUCCUUACGCUCCCUGUUCUCCCACUCUCUCACUCUUCUCUUGAUCCCCCUGGGGGGCCGAAAGAACAACGGGGAGUUGGACGUCGCCACUGACGGUCCCUACUCUGUCAGGGUCUAAAGAUUUCGAGCUCAGGUUUGAUGGUUCACCUUUUCAAGGAUGGUUAGCUUGAAUAGCCGGUAAAGUGCAAGAUGAGUGUUUUCCUUCCCCCUUUUAUUUUUCUUGAUUGGUUAGUGAGAAUCAGUUCGAACUUGUGACCAAUGUAGUUGACUGUUUGUUCAGAUCUCUUAGUGUCUGUGAGUGAGUCUGCUCAUAUUAGGGUUUCAGGUGGGUUAGUGGGGUUGAAGACGAGUUGAAUCAUCUUCAACUCGGUGAGUGAGUGUCAAGGGUGACUUGGGUGAGUCUACCCAAUGAGUGUUUGUGUUUUAAUUCGGACAAACUCGAGUGAGUUUCAAUGGAUCAACUCGAGUGAGGUUCACACACGCUAGAUCACAUGUAGGUCUUUGGACUUGCAAGAAUGGGCUUGGAUUAACCUUUUUUCAAAAUGGGCUUUGGGACAAAGUUUAAAAAAAACAGGCUUGAGUUAAGAACCGGGCUGAUCCAAAACGAUUUUAAGAGAAAGCCUUUUGAGGUUUUAAAAACACAAGCCGACCCAAUUUGUGUUUUAAAAACACGGCCGUACUUGAACUUUUUUGUUUUUUUUUUUAAAACGAGGGUUGGCCCAAUUUGAACUUUUUAAAAUUGGGGCCCAACUUCCAUUUUAAAAAGCAUAGCCUCAUUUGAUUUUAAAACAGGCCAGCCCAACUUCCAUUUUUUUUUAAAAGCCUUAUUUGAUUUUAAAACGGGUCGGCCCAAUUUCUAUUUUAAUAACAGAGCCUCGUAAGCCGAAACAGAGUUGGGGUCUUAGGGAUCUGAAAUUUGGAAAUAGGCCUUGUGGGUUCCUUAGUGGGUUCAAUUCGAGUUGUUAAAACUCGAAGAUAGAUUAGGGUUAGUGGUUCAAGUCUGGUGAGUGUGGAAAGGUCCAAACCCAAGUUCGGGUUCGAGUCAGGGUUCGGGUCCAUUCUCAUGUCCGAAACCUGAGAGAAGAAAGAGGGGUGCCUGCGCUUAUGCACUCUUAAUAAACACACGAAUGGAAUGAAUACGGAAAUAGGGUGUAUCAAUUAUUACCUUCUUUUUUUCUCCUUUUUCUUUUCCCUCCUUGAUGUCAGUCUGAUGACUGGUCUGGGGAUUGGUCUGGUGUUUGCACUGGUUCGUUUGCUCAAGUACAAUUCUAAAUUCAAACCCCUCCUCCUCUACUCUUUGCAACCGAGCAAAGCUCAAAACUCUCUCUGAUUUUUCUCAAAUUAUGCAAAACCCUCUUAUCUUUCCUUUUGCAGUCUCUCAAAUUCUACAGAAUCCUCUUAUCUUUCUUUCUACUCUCUCUCUCUCUCUCUCUCACAAUUCUCGCAGAGUAUUCUUGUAUUCUUCCUCCCCCCGGUCUUUGCAUUGUGAGCCUAUCUUUAUUUAUAGGGAGUUCCAAGGGUGAUUUUGGCACCAAAUUCAGCCUCCCCCGCCACUUGUAAAUAGGUGCCCUAGGCAGGAAUGGAGGGCAUGGCAUUUGUUUUUUUUGUAUUUUGAUUUUUAUUUUGUGUAACUUUAGCCCGUAUGUACCCACGGGCUUUCUUUCCUGCAACUUCUUUUUGCACACUUUUUAUUUCCAUGUAUCUUUGAAUUUCUUAUUUCCUGUAUCAUCCUUCUUAAGUAUGUAUGUCAUUUAUUUUUGUGCAUUGUAAACUCUUGCAUGUACAGUGGACUUCACCUGCACGUGCACCUGCACUCGCACCACAUUGGAGGCAUGUGCUCCACUUCUCUUCUCUAAUAAAGUGCAUGUGGUUUU